UGGGCUGGACUCCCUCUGGGAAGGCUGACCUGACCGGCUCUGGGAAAUCUCAACUUAUGCAUAGAUCUGCACUGCCUAACUAAGUUUCUAAGAACUUAAGGAUGGAAAGCUGCAUCUAUUAUCUGCUUUGUGCCCUCCCAAUUGGCUCUGGACACACAUUGGAUGCUACCAAAUCAUCAGCACUGUUCACUGAAGGUCUGACUGGAUCAUGGAGGGGAAAUGAAGAGAUCUAAUUGCACCACAAAAAGAAGCUCCCUGAACAGGUUGACUCUUCCUCAGAAAAAAUGGGACUUUGCUGGGCACAAAAGCACUUCCAGGCUUACUCAGCAGCCUUAACAGAAAGGAUCUGAGGGUUUCAAAUGAAAAUGAAAAUAAGAAGACACCCAAGCCCUCUUCCUUUUUAUCCUAAGUCUAUUGUACCCAAUAACUUAUUCAUUUAUU